CCUACGGGUGGCAGCAGUGAGGAAUAUUGGUCAAUGGUCGGGAGACUGAACCAGCCAAGCCGCGUGAGGGAUGAAGGUACAGAGUAUCGUAAACCUCUUUUUUCAGGGAACAAAGGCGGGGGCGUGUCCCCGGAUGAGUGUACCUGAAUAAAAAGCAUCGGCUAACUCAGUUCCAGCCGCCGCGGUAAUACGGAGGAUGCGAGGGUUAUCGGAAUUGAUUGGGUUUAGAGGGUGGGCAGGCGGUCUGUUAGGUCAGCGGUCAAAUGCCGGGGCCCAACCCCGGUCCGCCGUUGAAACUGGCAGGCUCGAGUUGGAGAGAAGUAUGUGGAAUGCGAGGUGUAGCGGUGAAAUGCAUAGAUAUCGCGCAGAACUCCGAGUGCGAAGGCAGCAUGCCGGCUCCAAACUGACGCUGAGGCACGAAAGCGUGGGUAUCGAACAGGAUUAGAUACCCCUGUAGUC
rnacentral:rRNA from 1 species